rnacentral:rRNA from 1 species
AGCGAACGUUUGCGGCGGGCCUAACACAUGCAAGUCGAACGGGUUGGCAACAACCAGUGGCGCACGGGUGCGUAACACGUAGGUAAUCUACCCUCAAGUUCGGGAUAACGAUCUGAAAGGAUCGCUAAUACCGGAUGUGUUCCGAAAGGAAGAAAGACCCGCAAGGGUCGCUAGAGGACGAGCCUGCGGCCCAUCAGCUAGUUGGUGAGGUAAUGGCUCACCAAGGCUAAGACGGGUAGCUGGUCUGAGAGGAUGAUCAGUCACACUGGAACUGAGACACGGUCCAGACUCCUACGGGAGGCAGCAGUGGGGAAUAUUGCGCAAUGGGCGAAAGCCUGACGCAGCCACGCCGCGUGAGCGAUGAAGGCCUCGGUCGUAAGACUCUGUGGGAGGAGACGAAGAAAGACCUGUGAAGAGCGGGCCGUUGACGGUAGUACUCCUUAGCAAGCACCGGCUAACUCCGUGCCAGCAGCCGCGGUAACUGUAGACGUCU